rnacentral:rRNA from 1 species
AGGCUUUGAAGCGACGGCGCCAGCUGUCGUGGAGCCAUAGGUGAAAUACCACCCUGCUGUUUUCUGAUGUCUAACCUCGCACCGUUAUCCGGUGUAGGGACCCUCUGUGACGGGUAGUUUGACUGGGGCGGUCGCCUCCUAAAGAGUAACGGAGGCGCGCAAAGGUGGGCUCAGGCUGUUUGGAAAUCAGCCGUAGAGUGUAAAGGCAUAAGGGAGCUUGACUGUGAGACUGACAAGUCGAACAGGUGGGAAACCAGGGCUUAGUGAUCCGGCGGUUCCGUAUGGAAGGGCCGUCGCUCAUCGAAUAAAAGGUACGCCGGGGAUAACAGGCUUAUCUCCCCCAAGAGUUCACAUCGACGGGGAGGUUUGGCACCUCGAUGUCGGCUCAUCGCAUCCUGGGGCUGGAGAAGGUCCCAAGGGUUGGGCUGUUCGCCCAUUAAAGCGGUACGCGAGCUGGGUUCAGAACGUCGUGAGACAGUUCGGUCCCUAUCUGCUGCGGGCGUUGGAGAAUUGAGUGGAGCUGUCUUUAGUACGAGAGGACCGAGACGGACUGACCUCUAGUGUACCAGUUGUGUCGCCAGAUGCAUUGCUGGGUAGCUACGUCGGGAAGGGAUAAGCGCUGAAAGCAUCUAAGCACGAAGCCCACCACGAGAUGAAUUCUCCCUUGUAGGUCGUUCGAGAUGAGGACGUUGAUAGGCACUAGGUGUACGCACAGCAAUGUGUUCAGCCGAGGUGUACUAAUUACCUACUAGAGCUU